rnacentral:ncRNA from 1 species
UAUUGACUGACCUAGCAGACAAGCCAAGACGAUAAGACUUAUUUUUUCAGGAGAAAAGAUUAUG